UGGGGAAUAUUGCACAAUGGAGGGAACUCUGAUGCAGCGACGCCGCGUGAACGAAGAAGGCUUUCGAGUCGUAAAGUUCUUUUAUAUGGGAAGAUAAUGACGGUACCAUAAGAAAAAGCCCCGGCUAACUACGUGCCAGCAGCCGCGGUAAUACGUAGGGGGCUAGCGUUGUCCGGAAUCACUGGGCGUAAAGGGCUUGUAGGUGGCUGGUUGCGUCUGUCGUGAAAGCUCAUGGCUUAACUGUGGGUUUGCGGUGGGUACGGGCUGGCUUGAGUGCAGUAGGGGAGGCUGGAAUUCCUGGUGUAGCGGUGGAAUGCGCAGAUAUCAGGAGGAAUACCGGUGGCGAAGGCGGGUCUCUGGGCUGUUACUGACGCUGAGGAGCGAAAGCGUGGGGAGCGAACAGG
rnacentral:rRNA from 1 species